UGGGGUGUGUGGAAAAAGUUCCAUCUCGAUUAUUUGGUUUCAUAAAUUUCAAUUUCGCUUCAGGAGACGAAAUUAAGUUUCCCAGCCGGUCCCUGACCAUUUCCUGAUAUUUCGAAAUAGCAGAGAGUUUCUUUUUGGGGAAAAACAAAGCGAUUACUCUGGUAUGAAGAUUUCAGGCAGGCGCGAUUGGAAGAGGUCAGUCAUCAGCUAAGCUGAGGAUACUGGAAUGAAAUGGGAGCAGAUGGAGAAAGCUGUUCAGAACCGAGUUCAGUGGAGAGAUGUGGUUGCAGCCCUGUACUCCCUGAGGGGUUCACAGGAUUAAGUCAACAUCUCAAGAUGGGCACGUCUAGAAUUCCAACAGUGACAGCAUAAUUUAAAGGACACUCAAAUACUUUUGCCCCAAAAGAUGGUCAUCAAGGAAUGAUGUUCUAACAGCAAAUGAGAUUAAUUCAUUUUGAUGUCCUAAA